CCUACGGGUGGCUGCAGUGGGGAAUAUUGCACAAUGGGCGCAAGCCUGAUGCAGCCAUGCCGCGUGUGUGAAGAAGGCCUUCGGGUUGUAAAGCACUUUCAGCGGGGAGGAAGGCGUUAAGGUUAAUAACCUUGUCGAUUGACGUUACCCGCAGAAGAAGCACCGGCUAACUCCGUGCCAGCAGCCGCGGUAAUACGGAGGGUGCAAGCGUUAAUCGGAAUUACUGGGCGUAAAGCGCACGCAGGCGGUCUGUCAAGUCGGAUGUGAAAUCCCCGGGCUCAACCUGGGAACUGCAUUCGAAACUGGCAGGCUAGAGUCUUGUAGAGGGGGGUAGAAUUCCAGGUGUAGCGGUGAAAUGCGUAGAGAUCUGGAAGAAUACCGGUGGCGAAGGCGGCCCCCUGGACAAAGACUGACGCUCAGGUGCGAAAGCGUGGGGAGCAAACAGGAUUAGAUACCCUAGUAGUC
rnacentral:rRNA from 1 species